rnacentral:rRNA from 1 species
AAUAGAUACCCGGGUAGUCCACGCCGUAAACGUUGGAUACUAGGUGUGGCGGUUAUACCAACGACUGCCGUGCCGAAGCUAACGCAUUAAGUAUCCCGCCUGGGGAGUACGGCCGCAAGGCUAAAACUCAAAGGAAUUGACGGGUCCCCGCACAAGCGGCGGAGCAUGCGGCUUAAUUCGAUGCAACCCGAAGAACCUUACCUGGGUUUGACAUCACGGGAAAAGCUGUAGAAAUACAGUGUCCGUAAGGGCCCGUGACAGGUGGUGCAUGGCUGUCGUCAGCUCGUGUCGUGAGAUGUUGGGUUAAGUCCCGCAACGAGCGCAACCCUUGUCCUAUGUUGCCAGCAGUUCGGCGUGGGGACUUCGGUAGGAGACUGGCCGGGGUAUAACGUCGGAGGAAGGUGAGGACGACGUCAAGUCAUCAUGCCCCUUAUAUCCGAGGGCUGCACGCAUGCUACAAUGGCCGGUACAACGGGCAGCGACCCGCGAGGGUGAGCGAAUCCUAUAAACGCCGGUCCAGUUCGGAUUGAAGUCUGCAACUCGACUUC